GAUGAAGAACGCAGUAAAAUGCGAUAAGUAAUGUGAAUUGCAGAAUUCAGUGAAUCAUCGAAUCUUUGAACGCACCUUGCACCCUUUGGCAUUCCGAAGGGUAUGCUCGUUUGAGUGUCAUUGUACUCUCACACUUCCGAUCUUUGGAUUGGGAGCGGUGGACUUGGGUGUUGCUGCUUACUGUGGCUCACCUCAAAUCGAUUCGUGCACCUCUUGGUUGGACAUAGUACGGCGUGAUAAGUGUCUUCGCCGGCACCUCAGUAGAGGGUGGCUGAUCGGGAGCUCUGCUUCAAACCGUCCUCGGACAACAACUGACAACUUGACCUCAAAUCGAGUAGGACUACCCGCUGAACUUAAGCAUAUCAAUAAGCGGAGGA
rnacentral:misc_RNA from 1 species